UCCGGUCCUGCACGGCUAGUAUGGCCAUAAUAAGACAACAUGUGAAGUGACUGAUUAAAUUGAGUCACUUUUUGAUAUCAGUCUUAAAUGUUAGCAUAGGGUGUACAUGGGACUCAUUUUAUUGGUGUGAUUGGAUAUAAGCCACAGUGACACUGAAACUUUUCUGCUCUGUGGAAAUAUGUAUUUCAUUCGUUUUUUUUUUUUGAAAAUCCCUCAUUUGUGGCUCUUGUUUGUAUUGUCUAUGGUUUUUUGACAAUUUAAAUGUCACCAAACGUCAAAUUUGAAGAAAAUUUUCGCUGUUUGGUGCGUUCGAGUGAAAUAUUUUGGUAAUAUUACCAUUGCAUUUUUGCAUUGCGCUACCCCAUGGACUCAUAUUGGCUCAUUAACUACUUUCUUGAGUUUCUUGGACAUCGUCACAUGAAAUAAUAUACGACCGAGCUUGCUCCCGACCAAGCACGAUCAGAUUCCUUGGGAGUUCUUCGGCAGACGAUUUCUAUGCACCAGCUCCAUGAGACGAAGAACAAAACAGCAUGCCACCUGACUGAUGACCCACCCACCGUUUACCCGGCCCCAGGAGCUAGAAGGCCUUGAGACAAAAGCUCGGGCAGGAUUCUGACGGGCGCAACAGAAUAUCAUCUACGAUGCUUGUCCCACGGCCUGACUGAAUAAUAUUUAUAUAUUCAAUGGAAGGAAAAAACAGUAGAACAUUGAAAUUGGCUCGUAGGCAAGACGGAAGAUGGUCAAAACCGGUCAGAAAAUGAUGGCCUAGACACGGUUGGAGAGCUCUUGUUGGCAGAAACCACCUGAAGAUGGUCAGAUGACAUCAGCAACCUUG